UUGUUAAUUACUGCAAGUUUUCUGGUCGUAAAAUAUAUAAAGAAAAAGUCUUCCCAAUUGCUUGUUCGGCAACGAAUGGUUAGUUAACUAUCCCUUUUCUUGUUUGAAUUGCUCUAUAUAUGUCUUAAUCACUAUAAACCAAAACCUUAUACCUAGGUUUCCGUGAAUCCUGGGACACUAAAAUUGGGCGUUUUAAUUCAGUUUUAUCCCCUACCUUUUCCUCGAUCAUCUCUAUCCCAAAAAAAAGUGUUAGAGAUAAUGCAUCUUUGGCCUUCAAUUAAGAUUAGGAACUCCUUCAAGCAUGAUUACUUUCAUAAUAUUGAGCGAGUCAACAGUGAGAACAAACGAUCUCAAUCUGCCACUGAAGUCCAUCAAAAUUUCUGGCUUCUCACUUUCUGUCAAGAAUUUCUUAUGAUUUUCAGUUGCUGUUUCUGUUUUGGAAAUUUAUGUGAAGAUGACAUUGGUUUCAUUUAGCUGAGGUUGCCAAUCUAUUAAUUCUAUUUCUAUACAAGCUUAGUAUGUAAUGAAUAGCCUUACUACAUAUGUUGAAGGUUCCAUAAGCAUUCAACAAUCAAUUUCACCUAGUACAUGUCUAAUGAAUUGCUGAACUCUGAUACUAUCACUUGCAAGAAAAUUGGAGUUAGCAAUUCAUCUCGCGUGAAACUGUGGUCCUCGUUAACAUCGGGAAUUCUGUGAAGUGCAAUUUGUUUGUUACAUUGAUCUUUCAGAAGUGUUGUGAUCUGAUGACAGUUACAUCGGUUAUUAGCUGGUGUUAAGAGUGCUGCAUCGUUCAAAAUUCUGCUGUACAGUUUAUGAUUUUUAACACUUGUAGGUAAAUCGUGCUGCUUGGUCUUGUUGGGGCCUGAAAUUGUAAUUCCAUUGUCGACAUACUUCUUGCAGCCUAUUUAGUUUAUGAUUAAUAUUUUGGCCAAAGCCCGGCUUAUUGUUGAAAUUGCUGUUGAUAAAUAUUUUUAUACAUAACCAAUUUAGUUUA